rnacentral:lncRNA from 1 species
CCAACAACUAUUAGGUUGAUAAGAUUUGUGUGGAGGAGAAGAUAGUAAGAAAAUGACAAAAAAAUAUGUUUGAACAAGUCAGUCAGCUGACAUUGGGACACAGGCAUUCAUUCUCAACUGGAAAUAUUAAUAGCUGAAAGGAUGAGUCAAGUAAAAUCUCAUUAAAUUAAUACUUGAUAAAUUAAUUGUAAGGUCCCAUAUUUAAACAAGGACAUAUUAGUCCUUAGUAAAAGAAAAAGAAAAAAAAGAAAAAGAAAUACAAGUGGGCCUUAGCCCAUCUGAACGUAUCUAGGGAAACAAAUUAAGACGAAGGGAUUUUGGGAGUUAAAAAAUCUUUUCCCAGCAGCUCUUGAAAAAAAAAAAAAN